CCUGCCUGGUGGAGGAGCUGACGGAGGCCCUGCCUGGUGGAGGAUGUCUGUCGUGGGGACUCUGGUUUGGAGGAGAGCUGAUGGGGAGCUGAUGGAGGAGCUGAGUCGCUGGAGGACGACUAGGAAUCGACCAACAAGGAUUCCUCAACGUGUUUCUGGAGCGGAGGCGAGCUGAUAGGGGAGCCGUGAAUCUGGAGGAUGACGUCACUCUACCAACAUGGAUUGUAACUUUGUAUUAACCUGUAUCAACAAAGUGGAAAUAAAGGGCUUAAAAUUAAGACGAACUACAAGUUUGUUACCAGACGUUGGGACCAGACUUGCGCUUUUUGUUUCAGACCAGGACUCUGGCUGAGGAGAGCUGAUGGAGGAGCCAUAAAGUAAGCAGAGUGGACUUAACGCAGGAUUAGUUUGUCCAGUAGAAGUUAAGGCGUACUACUGUGGUUGGUUACCAGACAAACUACAGCUGCUACUUUGUAACGCGCCAUUAGAUCCCAACUACU